GUGCUUGCUUUGAGAGCACAUACACUAAAAUUGGAACAAUUCAGAGAAGAUGAGCAUGCCCCCCUACACAAAGACAAUACACAAAUUUGUGAAGUGUUCCAUAUCUAA
ensembl:snRNA U6 U6 spliceosomal RNA